CGGGAAUCUAUGUGAUUUUAUUGUUCAGUUUUAAUCAAUUUUACCAUUGAUUGAUUAAACUAAUCGAUUAUUUUGUAAAUAUUUUUCAUUUCUGUUGUGGUAAAGCAGUUUGUUUGUAUUUCUUGUUGAUUGAAUGCUUAGAUUUAACAAUGGGAUGAAAUGAAAAAUUAUUUUGUUUCAACCGGUUUUUGAUGAAUAGACAUUUUUUGUUUACCUUUCGUCUAUUAUUGUAUUUAAGGAAUUUGUUUCGGAUUUAACAUUAAUUGCAGGUGGAAUCAAGCUGAAAGACAGAUAUUACCUUGGUUUAUCUUCACGUGUUAACUGAGCGAAACUUCAAUAGUAUAUGAAUGUACUCUCGACGCCUCUUCAAUAUCAAUCCCAGAAUUUACAAUUUGUUUUUAAUCAGUGAAGCCAAUUAACGGAGCAACAUUAAAUUUGGAGAUAAGCCAAAAAUAUACACUUAUCACUAACAGCUUUCCCCAUUGAUUAAGGCCGAUCAAGUCUGAUAACUACCGAGUUAAACUCUAUUUUUGUGUUUAAAGAGUAAUCAAAAAGAUACGACUUCCACCUUCCUACAGAGAAAUUCAUAAUUAACGAAAAUUGAGCUACAAUUUAUGGUGGACUGAAAAUUCAACGGAAAAUUAUUGAUAUUGUAAUAUACAAAUAGUGACACUUACAUUAUCUCAAUGGUUUUUGAGGCUACGAGAAAUUGAUUAAAAUCUCCGGAAGAUUUCAAGUUGAUUAUAAAUCUUUUCGUCAUCAAGUUGAUUGUGCCAUUGUACAAUCAACUUUCCUAUUUUCAGUUUGAGGAAAUGAGAGGUUGAUGAGUAAAGAAAAAAUUACAAGCACAAAAAUAUACACUUGUUUAACUCUUUCAAGCAUUUUUUUGCCAAGAUUACUUGAAAUAAGCCAAGUUAAAAUAGAACCAAGUUUCUAUUUUAACUUUUAUCUGUAAUUUUGGUGGUUAAAGUGAUUGGUUACUGUUCUGGCCUUGAUCAUUGGCUGGUGAGUUGGCAAAAUUCAUCAUGGAAAACAUCAACAAAUGUCUAACCGGUGACACUUUUGGUUUAUCUUGUGAUAAAAGUAUUGAAAUAAACUUUGACUAACCCUAGACAUUAAGCUCAACUUACAAGACUGUUAGCAAGAUUGACUAGAAUUAGCUGCCGCUUCAUUUACAGAGCAUGAAUAAGCCAACCAGAGUCAAGAGAUUAUAAAUUGAAUUUUUAAGAAAACGCUUUUAUUCUGUAAUGUUAAACAGUGUUAAUUUAUUACACUAUAUUUUUAUUUCAUGUGAUAAAAUGUCAAACAUUUUCAAAAAUGGCAAAUCUUUGUUUUGUUGCCGUUUGUUUGCAAUAAUAAUCAAUAUUCUGAAAACAUUAAUUACAAUAUAUGAUAAUCCAGACAUGAGCUUAUCAAAUUUUGGAUGUAUAUCUUUUUUCAAUUUUUAGUAAUUUUCGUGUAAGAUUUCAGGGUAAGAGAGGAGAAAGAGAGGGUAGCGAGAAAGGGGAAGACUUAUCAAGUCGUAGGGUUUCUCAGGGGAUGAUAAUUAUUAACGUUAUUAAUAUUUUACAAAUAGAUAGAGAAUUUUGGUGUAUUCAGAAAGAUUCAUUUAGCUGACUUGGUUUUCGCUGAAAUUGAGGCAACAAAGUGUUGGAUAAAGAGUUUGUCAUGAUGACAAUAGAACAGUUGAUAGAAGAAAAUAAAGAGGCAUAAUUUGCAACAUAAUUUGACCUGGAAAACAAAAGAGAGGAAAACGAAGUAGGAAAAUGAAUACGGAAAACAAAGUAGGAAUAAUGUACAAAGUAUACAUAGAA